rnacentral:rRNA from 1 species
UGGGGAAUAUUGGACAAUGGGCGAAAGCCUGAUCCAGCCAUGCCGCGUGUGUGAAGAAGGUCUUCGGAUUGUAAAGCACUUUAAGUUGGGAGGAAGGGCAUUAACCUAAUACGUUAGUGUUUUGACGUUACCGACAGAAUAAGCACCGGCUAACUCUGUGCCAGCAGCCGCGGUAAUACAGAGGGUGCAAGAGUUAAUAGGAAUUACUGGGCGUAAAGCGCGCGUAGGUGGUUUGUUAAGUUGGAUGUGAAAUCCCCGGGCUCAACCUGGGAACUGCAUUCAAAACUGACUGACUAGAGUAUGGUAGAGGGUGGUGGAAUUUCCUGUGUAGCGGUGAAAUGCGUAGAUAUAGGAAGGAACACCAGUGGCGAAGGCGACCACCUGGACUAAUACUGACACUGAGGUGCGAAAGCGUGGGGAGCAAACA